GACGAACGCUGGCGGCGUGCUUAACACAUGCAAGUCGAACGGAAAGGCCCUGCUUUUGUGGGGUGCUCGAGUGGCGAACGGGUGAGUAACACGUGAGUAACCUGCCCUUGACUUUGGGAUAACUUCAGGAAACUGGGGCUAAUACCGGAUAGGAGCUCCUGCUGCAUGGUGGGGGUUGGAAAGUUUCGGCGGUUGGGGAUGGACUCGCGGCUUAUCAGCUUGUUGGUGGGGUAGUGGCUUACCAAGGCUUUGACGGGUAGCCGGCCUGAGAGGGUGACCGGCCACCUUGGGACUGAGAUACGGCCCAGACUCCUACGGGAGGCAGCAGUGGGGAAUAUUGCACAAUGGGCGGAAGCCUGAUGCAGCAACGCCGCGUGCGGGAUGACGGCCUUCUGGUUGUAAACCGCUUUCGCCUGUGACGAAGCGUGAGUGACGGUAAUGGGUAAAGAAGCACCGGCUAACUACGUG
rnacentral:rRNA from 1 species